AGCGGCUUUAGGCUGUGAAGUGAUAGCGAAGCACACUCACCCCGCCAUGACUGAGGGGCACCUGCUGGUCACGUGAUGGCGCCAUCCCGCACCUGCACCUGCCAGCAAAGUAUUAACAAAAUAAGCAAAAGUGGGCGAGUGGUGCUCGGUGACGCCUCGUCCGAUGCUCUUCAAGCGGCUAAAAAAUAAAAUUCCAAGGCGAAAUCGUUUGGAAAUAUAAAAAGGGACUACUUGCCGUUUUUUACCCGGAGCACCAGAGCGCGGCUGCUCUCCCCCUCUGCUCGCUUGGCCGCCUGACGUCGCCUUCCGCCGGGCCUCCUGAGGAAAAGUGUCCCCAACUCCGACUCCUCCUCCUCAUCCUCCUCCUCCAGGAUGUCGACGUCCUCCAGCGGGUUGUUGAAAGCAGCGUGUCCGUCACGAAGAGCACCAGUUGUCAUGUCCGCUAACUUAUGAGUUUGUGGACAUAUGAUUUGACAAACGGCCUGCUGACUGAAAAGGUCGAACACCGCCAUGACGCAGACAGAGCAGAGACAAGUAUGUUGGGUCGAGGGUGAGGAGUCGCAGCCCUGUUUUACCGUGUACAUCUUGCUUGGUAUACUUGUGUGAAAGACUUCCUGUCGUCAUCGUGUGGGUUGCAUAGAUCAUUGAGGACGGACAUCGCUGAGCAGCGUCCCAGGCCAUGACGGGGAAAGAGGAGCAAACACACACGAGCGAGCAGGAGGCCGCAAGCGAUAGACCAGAAUAUUGCACAUUGUAAGCCAAAAUAAUAAAAGACUUGUUU